rnacentral:rRNA from 1 species
CGCCUGCCGGCGACCGGCGCACGGGUGAGUAACACGUAUGCGACCUGCCCCCCGCAGGGGGAUAACCGGGAGAAAUCCCGACUAAUACCGCGUAACGCCGCGGACCUGCAUGGGUCUGCGGCCAAAGGAAGCGAUUCCGGCGGGGAUGGGCAUGCGGCGCAUUAGCUAGUCGGCGGGGUAACGGCCCACCGAGGCGACGAUGCGUAGGGGUUCUGAGAGGAAGGUCCCCCACACUGGUACUGAGACACGGACCAGACUCCUACGGAAGGCAGCAG